rnacentral:rRNA from 1 species
ACGGCUCAUUACAAUGGCCAUUAUUUACUUGAUCUUGAUUGUCUAAAUGGAUAACUGUGGAAAAGCUAGAGCUAAUACAUGCACYAAAGCUUUGUCCUUUCGGAAAAGCGCAUUUAUUAGAACAAAACCACGCGGCUUCGGCUGCUUCUUGUUGACUCAGAAUAACUWAGCUGACCGCAUGGCCUUGUGCCGGCGGCGUGUCUUUCAAGCGUCCACUUUAUCAACUUGACGGGAGCAUAAUCGACUCCCGUGGUGGUGACGGAUAACGGAGGAUCAGGGUUCGACUCCGGAGAAGGGGCCUGAGAAAUGGCCACUACGUCUAAGGAUGGCAGCAGGCGCGCAAAUUACCCACUCUCGGCUCGAGGAGGUAGUGACGAGAAAUAACGAGACUGUUCUCUUUGAGGCCGGUCAUCGGAAUGGGUACAAUUUAAACCCUUUAACGAGUAUCAAGCAGAGGGCAAGUCUGGUGCCAGCAGCCGCGGUAAUUCCAGCUCUGCAAAUACAUAGAAUUAUUGCUGCGGUUARAAAGCUCAUAGUUGGAUUCGUAUCGAUACCUUGGAACCCUUCGGGUGUCUCUGGGUGUUAUCGAUUUAUCGUAAUGUUCGGUUUUGAGUCCUUAACAGGAUUCUUAACAGGCAUUGCAAGUUUACUUUGAACAAAUCAGAGUGCUUCAAACAGGCGUUUUCGCUUGAAUGAUCGUGCAUGGAAUAAUAGAAAAUGAUUUCGGUUCAGUUUUAUUGGUUUUACGGACUGAGAUAAUGGUUAACAGAGACAAACGGGGGCAUUUGUAUGGUCCCGUGAGAGGUGAAAUUCUUGGACCGUGGCCAGACAAACUACAGCGAAAGCAUUUGCCAAGAAUGUUUUUAUUAAUCAAGAACGAAAGUCAGAGGUUCGAAGGCGAUCAGAUACCGCCCUAGUUCUGACCGUAAACGAUGCCAACUAGCGAUCCGCCGAUGGAAAUUAUAUUGCCUUGGUGGGGAGCUUCCCGGAAACGAAAGUCUUCCGGUUCCGGGGGAAGUAUGGUUGCAAAGCUGAAACUUAAAGGAAUUGACGGAAGGGCACCACCAGGAGUGGAGCCUGCGGCUUAAUUUGACUCAACACGGGGAAACUCACCCGGCCCGGACACUGUGAGGAUUGACAGAUUGAUAGCUUUUUCAUGAUUCAGUGGAUGGUGGUGCAUGGCCGUUCUUAA